GUGCCAGCCGCCGCGGUAAUACAGAGGGUGCGAGCGUUAAUCGGAAUUACUGGGCGUAAAGCGCGCGUAGGCGGCUUUGCAAGUCGAGUGUGAAAUCCCCAGGCCUAACCUGGGAACUGCAUUCGAGACUGCAUGGCUAGAGUAUCGGAGAGGGAAGUGGAAUUUCAGGUGUAGCGGUGAAAUGCGUAGAUAUCUGAAGGAACAUCAGUGGCGAAAGCGACUUCCUGGACGAAUACUGACGCUCAUGUGCGAAAGCGUGGGGAGCAAACAGGAUUAGAUACCCCUGUAGUCC
rnacentral:rRNA from 1 species